rnacentral:tRNA from 2 species
GCAGUCGUGCCCGAGUGGUUAAGGUGAUGGACUAGAAAUCCAUUGAGGUCUCCCCGCACAGGUUCAAAUCCUGUCGACUGCG